CAAUAGCGUAUAUUAAAGUUGUUGCAGUUAAAAAGCUCGUAGUUGGAUUUCUGUGAGAGUGCCGGUGUCGGCUGAUGCUUGUACGCAGGCGCUCUUACAUCCUUCUGUUAACUGUUCUUGGCAUUUUAUUGCUGGUUCAGGGCUCAGAUAUUUUACCUUGAGAAAAUUAGAGUGUUUCAGGCAGGCUUAUGCCGGAAUACAUUAGCAUGGAAUAAUGGAACAGGACCUGUGCGUCUCUCGGGGCGCCGGUCUCCGUUAUUGGUUUCGGGGACUAAUGUAAUGAUUAAUAGGGAUAGUUGGGGGCAUUAGUAUUUAAUAGUCAGAGGUGAAAUUCUCGGAUUUGUUAAAGACUAACUUAUGCGAAAGCAUUUGCCAAGGAUGUUUUCAUUAA
rnacentral:rRNA from 1 species